rnacentral:rRNA from 1 species
CUACGGGGGGCAGCAGUGGGGAAUAUUGCACAAUGGAGGAAACUCUGAUGCAGCAACGCCGCGUGGAGGAUGACACUUUUCGGAGCGUAAACUCCUUUUAUAUAGGAAGAAGAUGACGGUACUAUAUGAAUAAGCGCCGGCGAACUCCGUGCCAGCAGCCGCGGUAACACGGAGGGCGCAAGCGUUACUCGGAAUCACUGGGCGUAAAGAGCGUGUAGGCGGAUUAAAAAGUCAGAAGUGAAAUCCUAUAGCUUAACUAUAGAACUGCUUCUGAAACUCUUAAUCUAGAAUAUGGGAGAGGUAGAUGGAAUUUCUGGUGUAGGGGUAAUAUCCGUAGAGAUCAGAAGGAAUACCGAUUGCGAAGGCGAUCUACUAGAACAUUAUUGACGCUGAGACGCGAAAGCGUGGGGAGCAAACAGGAUUAGAUACCCGGGUAGUC